UACGUAGGGGGCAAGCGUUGUCCGGAUUUAUUGGGCGUAAAGAGCGUGUAGGCGGCCCGGUAAGUCCGCUGUGAAAGUCCAGGGCUCAACCCUGGGAUGCCGGUGGAUACUGUCGGGCUCGAGUCCGGAAGAGGCGAGUGGAAUUCCUGGUGUAGCGGUGAAAUGCGCAGAUAUCAGGAGGAACACCGGUGGCGAAGGCGGGUCUCUGGGCAGUAACUGACGCUGAGGAGCGAAAGCGUGGGGAGCGAACAGG
rnacentral:rRNA from 1 species